rnacentral:rRNA from 1 species
AGAGUUUGAUCCUGGCUCAGGAUGAACGCUAGCGGCAGGCUUAAUACAUGCAAGUCGUGGGGCAGCGCAGUGUAGCAAUACAUGGGCGGCGACCGGCAAACGGGUGCGGAACACGUACACAACCUUCCUACAAGUGGGGAAUAGCCCAGAGAAAUUUGGAUUAAUACCCCGUAACAUAUAGAGAUGGCAUCAUUUUUAUAUUAUAGCUAUGGCGCUUGUUGAUGGGUGUGCGGCUGAUUAGGUAGUUGGCGGGGUAACGGCCCACCAAGCCUUCGAUCAGUAGCUGAUGUGAGAGCAUGAUCAGCCACACGGGCACUGAGACACGGGCCCGACUCCUACGGGAGGCAGCAGUAAGGAAUAUUGGACAAUGGGCGCAAGCCUGAUCCAGCCAUGCCGCGUGAAGGAUUAAGGUCCUCUGGAUUGUAAACUUCUUUUAUAAGGGACGAAAAAAGGGAAUUCUUUCUCACUUGACGGUACCUUAUGAAUAAGCACCGGCUAACUCCGUGCCAGCAGCCGCGGUAAUACGGAGGGUGCAAGCGUUAUCCGGAUUCACUGGGUUUAAAGGGUGCGUAGGCGGGUAUUUAAGUCAGUGGUGAAAUCCUAGAGCUUAACUCUAGAACUGCCAUUGAUACUAUUUAUCUUGAAUAUUGUGGAGGUAAGCGGAAUAUGUCAUGUAGCGGUGAAAUGCUUAGAUAUGACAUAGAACACCUAUUGCGAAGGCAGCUUACUACGCAUAUAUUGACGCUGAGGCACGAAAGCGUGGGGAUCAAACAGG